rfam:Solanum lycopersicum cultivar Heinz 1706 chromosome 7, whole genome shotgun sequence.
CUGAGUCUUAUGAUGAUUAGAAGCACAGUUCACAUGAAGUUAUUUGUGAUUAAUUUGUUUUUGUUUUAGUCUUUCGCUCCUAUGUGAUGACUCUC